rnacentral:rRNA from 1 species
GAUGAACGCUGGCGGCGUGCCUAAUACAUGCAAGUCGAGCGAACAGACGAGGAGCUUGCUCCUCUGACGUUAGCGGCGGACGGGUGAGUAACACGUGGAUAACCUACCUAUAAGACUGGGAUAACUUCGGGAAACCGGAGCUAAUACCGGAUAAUAUAUUGAACCGCAUGGUUCAAUAGUGAAAGACGGUUUUGCUGUCACUUAUAGAUGGAUCCGCGCCUCAUUAGCUAGUUGGUAAGGUACCGGCUUACCAAGGCAACGAUGCGUAGCCGACCUGAGAGGGUGAUCGGCCACACUGGAACUGAGAAACGGUCCAGACUCCUACGGGAGGCAGCAGUAGGGAAUCUUACGCAAUGGGGGAAAGCCUGACGGAGCAACGCCGCGUGAGUGAUGAAGGUCUUCGGAUCGUAAAACUCUGUUAUUAGGGAAGAACAAAUGUGUAAGUAACUAUGCACGUCUUGACGGUACCUAAUCAGAAAGCCACGGCUAACUACGUG